rnacentral:rRNA from 1 species
UACGGAAGGUCCGGGCGUUAUCCGGAUUUAUUGGGCGUAAAGCGAGCGCAGGCGGAAUGAUAAGUCUGAUGUGAAAGCCCACGGCUCAACCGUGGAACUGCAUCGGAAACUGUCAUUCUUGAGUGCAGAAGAGGAGAGUGGAACUCCAUGUGUAGCGGUGGAAUGCGUAGAUAUAUGGAAGAACACCAGUGGCGAAGGCGGCUCUCUGGUCUGCAACUGACGCUGAGGCUCGAAAGCAUGGGUAGCGAACAGG